UACGAAGGGGGCUAGCGUUGCUCGGAAUCACUGGGCGUAAAGGGUGCGUAGGCGGGUCUUUAAGUCAGGGGUGAAAUCCUGGAGCUCAACUCCAGAACUGCCUUUGAUACUGAGGAUCUUGAGUUCGGGAGAGGUGAGUGGAACUGCGAGUGUAGAGGUGAAAUUCGUAGAUAUUCGCGAAGAACACCAGUGGCGAAGGCGGCUCACUGGCCCGAUACUGACGCUGAGGCACGGAAAGCGAUGGGGAGCCAA
rnacentral:rRNA from 1 species